rnacentral:rRNA from 1 species
AGAGUAACUGACAGCAUGCCGCGUGCAGGAGAGGCCCUAUGGGUGGCUAACUGCUUUUAUACGGGAGAAAACCCCCGUUCGUGAACGAGGUUGACGGUACUGUAAGAAUAAGGACCGGCUAACUCCGUGCCAGCAGCCGCGGUAAUACGGAGGGUCCGAGCGUUAUCCGGAUUUAUUGGGUUUAAAGGGUACGUAGGCGGAAAAUUAAGUCAGUAGGGAAAGGCGCCCGCUAAACGGAAGAACUGCUAUUGAUACUGGAAUUCUUGAAUAUAGUGGAAGUAGGGGGAAUAUUACAUGUAGCGGUGAAAUGCAAAGAUAUGACGUGGAACACCGAUUGCGAAGGCAGCUUACUAACCUAUUACUGACGCUGAUGUAAGAAAGCGAGGCGAGCGAACAGGAUUAGAUACCCUGGUAGUCCACGCCGUAAACUAUGAUAACUCGGUGCUGGCGAUAUACUGUCGGGGCCUAAGCGAAAGUGAUAAGUAAUCCACCUGGGGAGCUACGAUCGCAAGGUUGAAACUCAAAGGCAUUUGACGGACUGCCGUACCUUUU